GGAGGGGGCUAGCGUUGUUCGGAAUUAUUGGGCGUAAAGGGCGCGUAGGCGGCCACAUAAGUCGGUUGUGAAAUCCCUUGGCUCAACCAAGGAACUGCGUCCGAAACUGUGUGGCUCGAGUCCGGGAGAGGGUAGUGGAAUUCCCAGUGUAGCGGUGAAAUGCGUAGAUAUUGGGAGGAACACCGGUGGCGAAGGCGGCUACCUGGACCGGUACUGACGCUGAGGCGCGAAAGCUAGGGGAGCAAACAGGAUUAGAUACCCUGGGUAGUCCUAGCCGUAAACGAUGAGCACUUGGUGUAGCGGGUAUUGACCCCCCUGCUGUGCCGGAGCUAACGCAUUAAGUGCUCCGCCUGGGGGAGUACGGUCGCAAGGCUG
rnacentral:rRNA from 1 species